rnacentral:misc_RNA from 1 species
AAGACUAUAGACCUGCGGAGUACCUGCGGAAGGAUCAUUAGUGAACGCCCUCACGGGCUUAUAACUAUUCCAAACCUCUGUGAACCGUGCCCUUCGGGGCUAUUUUACAAACAUGGUGUAAUGAGCGUCAUAUAUCAUAACAAAACAAAACUUUCAACAACGGAUCUCU